rnacentral:rRNA from 1 species
AACGCGAAGAACCUUACCAAGGCUUGACAUAUAAGAGAACGGUGCAGAAAUGUAGAAUUCUUUGGACACUCGUAAACAGGUGGUGCAUGGUUGUCGUCAGCUCGUGUCGUGAGAUGUUGGGUUAAGUCCCGCAACGAGCGCAACCCUCGUUAUAUGUUGCCAGCAUGUAAUGGUGGGAACUCAUGGGAUACUGCCGGGGUCAACUCGGAGGAAGGUGGGGAUGACGUCAAAUCAUCAUGCCCCUUAUGUCUUGGGCUUCACGCAUGCUACAAUGGCCGGUACAAAGGGCUGCAAUACCGUGAGGUGGACAGAAUCCCAAAAAGCCGGUCCCAGUUAGGAUUGAGGUUUUCAACUGGGCUUCAUGAAGUGGGAGUCGUUAGUAAUGGCAGAUCAGCAACGCUGCGGUGAAGCGUUCCCGGGUCUUGUGCACACCG